rnacentral:rRNA from 11 species
UUGACCUCAAAUCGGGUGAGACUACCCGCUGAACUUAAGCA